GAUGAACGCUAGCGGCAAGCUUAAUACAUGCAAGUCGAGGGGCAGCAUGGGGGCGGAACCCUACGAUGGCGGACCCGGCCGAAACGGGUAGGCGGAACGAACGUACGCAACCUUACCCAAACUAGGUGAAUAAGCCUUUCGUAAAGAGAGAUUAAUACACCGUAAGAUAACGAGCAGGCAUCUACUUGUUAUUAUAGUAGCAUACGGUUUUGGUAUGGGCGUGCGCCUGAUUAGGUAGUUGGCGGGG
rnacentral:rRNA from 1 species